rnacentral:rRNA from 1 species
GUGGGGAAUUGUUCGCAAUGGGCGCAAGCCUGACGACGCAACGCCGCGUGGAGGAUGAAGGUCUUCGGAUUGUAAACUCCUGUUGAUCGGGACGAAUGGCCUUUGGGUUAAUACCCCAGAGGAGUGACGGUACCGGUUGAGGAAGCCCCGGCUAACUCUGUGCCAGCAGCCGCGGUAAUACAGAGGGGGCAAGCGUUGUUCGGAAUUACUGGGCGUAAAGGGCGCGUAGGCGGCCAUCUAAGUCGGACGUGAAAUCCCUCGGCUCAACCGAGGAACUGCGUCCGAUACUGAAUGGCUUGAGUUCGGGAGAGGGAUGUGGAAUUCCAGGUGUAGCGGUGAAAUGCGUAGAUAUCUGGAGGAACAUCUGUGGCGAAGGCGGCAUCCUGGACCGACACUGACGCUGAGGCGCGAAAGCCAGGGGAGCAAACGGGAUUAGAUACCCCAGUAGUCC